AAGCGCUUGCAAUCAGACUUGCACUCUAUUGAUCAUCCGGCGUUUUCACCGGUGCACUCUAUAGGGUUCAGGCUAGCAUCAGUUCUGGUGGUUGGAUAAAGAUCUUGGGAAUGUAGCUCCUCUUGGGGAGUGUUAUAGCCCUUGGUGUAAUGCAUCCUACUGGGACUGAGGUCCGCGCUUCGGCUAGGAUGCUGGCGUAAUGGUUGUAAGCGG
rnacentral:rRNA from 1 species